GACGAACGCUGGCGGCGUGCUUAACACAUGCAAGUCGAACGGAAAGACCCUGCUUUUGUGGGGUGCUCGAGUGGCGAACGGGUGAGUAACACGUGAGUAACCUGCCCUUGACUUUGGGAUAACUUCAGGAAACUGGGGCUAAUACCGGAUAGGAGCUCCUGCUGCAUGGUGGGGGUUGGAAAGUUUCGGCGGUUGGGGAUGGACUCGCGGCUUAUCAGCUUGUUGGUGGGGUAGUGGCUUACCAAGGCUUUGACGGGUAGCCGGCCUGAGAGGGUGACCGGCCACAGUGGGACUGAGAUACGGACCAGACUCCUACGGGAGGCAGCAGUGGGGAAUAUUGCACAAUGGGCGGAAGCCUGAUGCAGCAACGCCGCGUGCGGGAUGACGGCCUUCGGGUUGUAAACCGCUUUCGCCUGUGACGAAGCGUGAGUGACGGUAAUGGGUAAAGAAGCACCGGCUAACUACGUG
rnacentral:rRNA from 1 species